rnacentral:rRNA from 1 species
AUUGAACGCUGGCGGCAUGCUUUACACAUGCAAGUCGAACGGCAGCACGGAGAGCUUGCUCUCUGGUGGCGAGUGGCGAACGGGUGAGUAAUAUAUUGGAACGUACCGAGUAGCGGGGGAUAACUGUCCGAAAGGAUGGCUAAUACCGCAUACGCUCUGAGGAGGAAAGCGGGGGACCUUCGGGCCUCGCACUAUUCGAGCGGCCAAUAUCUGAUUAGCUAGUUGGUGGGGUAAGAGCCUACCAAGGCAACGAUCAGUAGCGGGUCUGAGAGGAUGAUCCGCCACACUGGGACUGAGACACGGCCCAGACUCCUACGGGAGGCAGCAGUGGGGAAUUUUGGACAAUGGGGGAAACCCUGAUCCAGCCAUGCCGCGUGUAUGAAGAAGGCCUUAGGGUUGUAAAGUACUUUUGUCAGGGAAGAAAAGCUUAAUAUUAAUACUAUUAAGUCAUGACGGUACCUGAAGAAUAAGCACCGGCUAACUACGUG